rnacentral:rRNA from 1 species
CCUACGGGUUGCAGCAGUGGGGAAUAUUGCACAAUGGGCGCAAGCCUGAUGCAGCCAUGCCGCGUGUAUGAAGAAGGCCUUCGGGUUGUAAAGUACUUUCAGCGGGGAGGAAGGCGAUAAGGUUAAUAACCUUGUCGAUUGACGUUACCCGCAGAAGAAGCACCCGCUAACUCCGUGCCAGCAGCCGCGGUAAUACGGAGGGCGCAAGCGUUAAUCGGAAUUACUGGGCGUAAAGCGCACGCAGGCGGUUUGUUAAGUCAGAUGUGAAAUCCCCGGGCUCAACCUGGGAACUGCAUUCGAAACUGGCAGGCUAGAGUCUUGUAGAGGGGGGUAGAAUUCCAGGUGUAGCGGUGAAAUGCGUAGAGAUCUGGAGGAAUACCGGUGGCGAAGGCGGCCCCCUGGACAAAGACUGACGCUCAGGUGCGAAAGCGUGGGGAGCAAACAGGAUUAGAUACCCGCGUAGUC